UGAGGUUUAGUCAAUUUAAUACGUAUUUGCCCAUAAGGCAGCCAAAACGACUCUGGGACUCUCGGGCUCCAAAUGCUCCAAAUUAUAUUUUAUAAUAAAAGUUAGUCUAGUCUCAAAAAUUA
rnacentral:snoRNA from 1 species